rnacentral:lncRNA from 1 species
UCGAUAUCAUCAACAACAUCCAAUAAAAAAAGGUCAAUCGACGUCCUACGAUGUCGACACCUCAAUAUACUCUCCAAUAUAUACACCAAUCCUAAUUUCAACUUGUCUAACAUGUGAUCGCAUCUCCAAAAUGCGUCCUCUAACUGUGGUGGUGUAACCAGCCCUUUACCUCCAAAAUAUAAAUCCAAUAACCUUUUAUUUGGUAUAAUACG